UUAAUCGGAAUUACUGGGCGUAAAGCGCACGUAGGCGUCUUGGUAUGUCGGGUGUGAAAUCCCCGGGCUCAACCUGGGAACUGCAUCCGAAACUGCCUUGCUCGAGUAUGGGAGAGGGAAGUGGAAUUUCCGGUGUAGCGGUGAAAUGCGUAGAUAUCGGAAGGAACAUCAGUGGCGAAGGCGACUUCCUGGACCAAUACUGACGCUCAGGUGCGAAAGCGUGGGGAGCAAACAGG
rnacentral:rRNA from 1 species